AGCAUAUCAAUAAGCGGAGGAAAAGAAACCAACAGGGAUUGCCUCAGUAACGGCGAGUGAAGCGGCAAGAGCUCAAAUUUGAAAUCUGGCCCCUCCGGGGUCCGAGUUGUAAUUUGCAGAGGAUGCUUCGGAUACGGCCCCCGUCUAAGUGCCCUGGAACGGGCCGUCGGAGAGGGUGAGAAUCCCGUCUGGGACGGGGUGUCCGUGUCCGUGUGAAGCUCCUUCGACGAGUCGAGUUGUUUGGGAAUGCAGCUCUAAAUGGGUGGUAAAUUUCAUCUAAAGCUAAAUAUUGGCCGGAGACCGAUAGCGCACAAGUAGAGUGAUCGAAAGAUGAAAAGCACUUUGAAAAGAGAGUUAAACAGCACGUGAAAUUGUUGAAAGGGAAGCGCUUGCGACCAGACUCGCCGACGGGGUUCAGCCGGGAUUCGUCCCGGUGUACUUCCCCGCCGGCGGGCCAGCGUCGGUUUGGGCGGCCGGUCAAAGGCCUCCGGAAUGUAUCGCCCUCCGGGGCGUCUUAUAGCCGGAGGUGCAAUGCGGCCUGCCCGGACCGAGGAACGCGCUUCGGCACGGACGCUGGCAUAAUGGUCGUAAGCGACC
rnacentral:rRNA from 3 species